AGCUAGCUGUGGUACCCACUUUGGAGACACAAAACUGGUAGCCUCAACAACUGGUAGUCCAGAAAAACAAGUAAUCUAAUAAGCUCCACCUUCACUUCUGUAGGUAUUAUAGUCUUCUCAUUUUGCAGUCCAUCUCUUGGGCCAACUUCUACUAUCUUGACAACUUCAGGGACAGAUCCUAAGAACUUGUCUUUGAUAUCUUUUAAAUGUCCAUGGCUUCUAUAAUAACGAUUUGACAAAGGAAAAGAUCCAAUGCUUGUUCUAA
rnacentral:misc_RNA from 1 species